rnacentral:lncRNA from 1 species
CACACACAAAAUAGAGGAAAACAAAGGAAAGAUUCAAGCCCUAGAAUCUAGUAAAGAAAAAAAUAAGCACAUUAAGAUUUUUUUCUGUUGACAUUCAUGGUACCCAACUUCAAUCUUCAAAAAAGAACAGAGAUAGCUUCUUUUCCUUUCUUCUUUCAGUGGGAUUCCUCUGUGUUGUCCAAGUGAGCCUUAAACUUAAGCUCCUCCUGUCCCAGGCUUCAUACUAACUGGAAUUAAAGGCACAACUCACCAUGCCUGCCGGUAACUAGUUUUUAACUCAGAUGACAUUUGUUCAUGGAGAUAGAGCUUGACGUGGAAAUGAAAGCAUUAGGAAGAAUCUCCCAAGUAAAGAAUAGAGGGACUUACAGGUGAACAAAGCUGGGGGCCAGGGAAUAGUCUAAUUUGAGUUGUUAACAGUGCUCAUUAGUGUGAGCAAAGUGUUCUAAUGAAAAGAUGCUACCAAGCUCUAGCUUGAACAAAGGAAGCUGGGAGCCAGUAACCAUUCUCAUCCAGUAUAGUUUGGAUUUCUUUUUACUCAUG